GACAGACAGCUCUCCUUCAUGAACAGAUCCAAAAGCAAACAUGACUUUAAUAGCCAUCAUUGUUUGGAUGCUCACAAACUUCAUCUGGAGUUCUGUGGGGCAGAUUCUGACUCAAUCUGAAAAUCAAACAGUGAAUCCUGAUCAAACUAUUCCUGGAGAAGUUCCUAAACUCCUGAUCUAUUACAUAUCAGAGAGAGCUUCAGGUGUUUCUUCUAGAUUCAGUGGCACUGAAAGUGGAAACCACAUGGAUUUUACUCUGACCAUCAGUGGAGUCCAGCCUGAAGAUUCAGGAGUUUAUUACUGUCAGAGUGCACAUAACAAGGGUGUCUCUGGCACCACAGACUGGGUGUUCACACAGUGUGAAAGCAUCGUACAAAAACCUCUUUGUGUGAGACUGCAGCGCUGCAGCUUUGAGCUUCUGCAGAUGUUGAUGUUGGAGAUCAUUGUAUAAGAUAAUUUCCCAUUUCAAUUUCCUAUCUAAUAAUAAAUAUUUAUGUUAGAAACGGCUACAUAAUUAAACUAGUUUUUAUUUAAAUUGUUUACCAAAUGUACUUUUUAGAAAUGACUUGUGCCUUCAUGAACUAAAUAAAAAUACAAGCAAUUAAUUAUAUUAAUAAUGAUAUAC